GCUCGUAGUCGAACUUUGGCUCUUUUGUUUUUCUAUGGUCUCCUCACGGAUGUACUGUAGGACGAGAGCUUCUUCCUCAAGGGCGCGUGUGCUACCGCAAGGAGUGUGCGUGUCACUGUGGACUUUUACUUUGAGAAAAUUAGAGUGUUCAAAGCAGGCGUUUGCUUGAAUAUCGCAGCAUGGAAUAAUGAAAUAGGACGGAGUUUCUAUUUUGUUGGUUAUUAGGAACACCGUAAUGAUUAAUAGGGAUAGUUGGGGGCAUUAAUAUUUAGUUGUCAGAGGUGAAAUUCUAGGAUUUACGAAAGAUUAACUUCUGCGAAAGCAUUUGCCAAGGAUGUUUUCAUUGAUCAAGAACGAAAGUUAGGGGAUCGAAGACGAUCAGAUACCGUCGUAGUCUUAACCAUAAACCAUGCCGACUAGAAAUUGGAGGGUGACGUUUUUUGUCCUCUUCAGCAUCUUAUGAGAAAUCAAAGUCUUUGGGUUCCGGGGGGAGUAUGGUCGCAAGGCUGAAACUUAAAGGAAUUGACGGAUGGGCACCACCAGGAGUGGAGCCUGCGGCUUAAUUUGACUCAACACGGGGAAACUCACCAGGUCCAGACAUAGUUAGGAUUGACAGAUUGAGAGCUCUUUCUUGAUUCUAUGGGUGGUGGUGCAU
rnacentral:rRNA from 1 species